GGCGACGCGAUCCCAAAUUGGCUUGACUCACUCAGUGUUGGGAGUGAGUGCCGCACAAUCGCAAAACACCCUGGCCUCUGUCUUGCCAUCUACCACAACCGCCGGUGGAGAUGAAGAAAUGGCUGAUGACAGACAAGCGAGUGGACGUGAUUCCAACCAUGAUACCAUUGCCCGGAAAAGCCAGUGGUGAAGAUGCUUGGAUUGACAAAGAUGGAAACUGAGGUGAAAUUGCUGACAUGAAAGGGCGGAAGGUCGAAGAUCGUCCUAUAAGCGAAAAAAUGAAUCUGAAUCAGAUGCAGAUAAUGGGGAAAUUGAUGAGUCCGGGAUUGAUGCGUCAAUCAUAUGCUUGGUUUUGUGAUUUGGGGUGUGGAAAGGCACAGAAUUGAGGUAUGAUGAUCUGGUCCACCAUCCCUCAUAAUAUAAGGUACCUCUUUUGUUUGUUUCCAACAAAAUGAUUGCUGUUCAUUACCCACAAAAAAGAAAAAGAAAAUGAAGAGAAAGUAGAGUGUUUAGUCAGUUUCAAGUGGUGGUGUGAUUUGAUGAUCUGAAGCAGACCCUUUACAGAGCUUCUUUUGACUGCUAGUUUAAGGGUACAUAGAGAAAUUCAAGAAUUUGAAUGCAUCUGCCAUUUGGCCCAUUUCAUUC